CUGGGCUUAGCCUCAACAAGAGAUCCGAUCGUCACCACCAAGAUGGUCAAUGCCAACAACUUCAUCAUUGCUAUUCUUCUGUCAAAGAAAAUAUAAGUGAUCCAGGUUACUUGAAGUUGACAAGUCUCCUAGACCGGUCCAUCGCCCCUGACACGGUUUUAUAGGUACAGCGGACCUUUGGUGGUGGUGGUGGGUUGAGGGCGUGACUAACUGACGCUCCAAUAACGACGAAUAGAUUGUCAAAGCUUCUCAUCGUUCGAUUGCCAAACAAUUUAAUCCAAUUGUUUUUCUCCCUUCUUUUCUCCUCCUCCUCCUUUGACAUCCUUUAGCUGCGUGAUUGUGAGCCGUUUGAUAGGAGAGCAAUAAACCCAGUUGAAACAAACAAUUUCAAACCACGGCCUUUGCUUAUUCACAAUCAUCAGAUGGCUAUGGCCUUUGAUCAUUGUCAGAAGCUU